rnacentral:rRNA from 1 species
GAUGAACGCUGGCGGCGUGCCUAAUACAUGCAAGUCGAGCGAACAGACGAGGAGCUUGCUCCUCUGACGUUAGCGGCGGACGGGUGAGUAACACGUGGAUAACCUACCUAUAAGACUGGGAUAACUUCGGGAAACCGGAGCUAAUACCGGAUAAUAUAUUGAACCGCAUGGUUCAAUAGUGAAAGACGGUUUUGCUGUCACUUAUAGAUGGAUCCGCGCCGCAUUAGCUAGUUGGUAAGGUAACGGCUUACCAAGGCAACGAUGCGUAGCCGACCUGAGAGAGUGGUCGGCCACACUGGAACUGAGACACGGUCCAGCCUCCUACGGGAGGCAGCAGUAGGGAAUCUUCCGCAAUGGGCGAAAGCCUGACGGAGCAACGCCGCGUGAGUGAUGAAGGUCUUCGGAUCGUAAAACUCUGUUAUUAGGGAAGAACAAAUGUGUAAGUAACUAUGCACGUCUUGACGGUACCUAAUCAGAAAGCCACGGCUAACUACGUG